rnacentral:rRNA from 1 species
GCAGUCCUCGGUCUAGACAGGCAGUAUCAACAAGGGCUAUAACACUUUACCGAAGCAAAGUCACAUUCCCAAGUCAUUAUCCUACCAUCCAAACCGAUGCUGGCCCAGUAAACUGCAGGGGACCCCACCACGAAGGUAAGGCUUGCAAAAUACCAAGUCUGAUCUCAAGCCCUUCCCUUUCAACAAUUUCACGUACUUUUUCACUCUCUUUUCAAAGUUCUUUUCAUCUUUCCAUCACUGUACUUGUUCGCUAUCGGUCUCUCGCCAAUAUUUAGCUUUAGAUGGAAUUUACCACCCACUUAGAGCUGCAUUCCCAAACAACUCGACUCUUCGAAAGCACUUUACAUAGAAUUGGGCAUCUCAUCGCACGGGAUUCUCACCCUCUGUGACGUCCUGUUCCAAGGAACAUAGACAAGAGCCAACUCCAAAGUUACCUUCUUCAAAUUACAACUCGGACACCGAAGGUGCCAGAUUUCAAAUUUGAGCUUUUGCCGCUUCACUCGCCGUUACUGAGGCAAUCCCUGUUGGUUUCUUUUCCUCCGCUUAUUGAUAUGCUUAAGUUCAGCGGGUAGUCCUACCUGAUUUGAGGUCAAACUUGUUUGUUGUAUUGUAAGGCCGAGCCAAUAAUACUAAAAAUUUACUACUAAACCAUUCAACGAGUUGGAUAAACCUAAUACAUUGAAAAAGUCUUGAAGUACUAUUCAGUACUACUCAUGCCGAUACAUUUCAAGCAAACGCCUAGUUCGACUAAGAGUAUCACUCAAUACCAA